rnacentral:lncRNA from 1 species
AAAAAACCACAUCGUAUGUACCAAAUUUUGAUGUGAUGCUCUGAAAGGUACUUUAUUAUUGCAUCCGGUGAAAAUUCUUUAAAUUCGUCUACAAGUCUAGCUAGCAUCCUCACCCAAACUCUUGGGAUAGAACCACACUGUGAUAAACUAAUUUGUGCCGCAUUUCACUUCACUGCACGGGCUUGUCAUCAACAAAUCUCAAGAAAGUGCUCCUAUCUCCACAUCCCAUAAUAACCUUGCCUUCGGUGUAGGCUUUAAUACCAUUGGAGGCAAUAGUGAAAAGCCUCCAAUUGAUCUCUAAAGCAAACAUGUUGACCCUAGCAUCAAUCAAAUAAAAUCAAAUCCAUGUCAAACCUAAUUAACAUAGUGAUCAAAAUCCUACGACAAAAUCAACAAUAUCCUACCAACUCUGGUCAGUGACAUCCCACCCAAAUCAACGAAGUUCCACCCUAUUCUGUUUAAAUCCUACCGCAAGUUAGCUACAGUAGGCACAAGUUGGGGUACCUGAGACCAUCCCCGGCACAAGUUGGGGAUGUGCACGUACGCACUGCACGUAGAGAGAAGUUGGUCCUUUGCUUGGCCCGCACGCCGUCCAUCACAUAUAUAUAUGCAUACGUACUCUAUAGUCUAUAUGAUCCAUCCC